GGGGUCGUGGCGCAGCGGUUAGCGCGUGGGAUUGCAGAUCCUAAGGUCACUGGUUCAAAUCCGGUCGAUCCCU